GUGAGGAAUAUUGCGCAAUGGAGGCAACUCUGACGCAGCCAUGCCGCGUGCAGGAAGAAGGCGCUACGCGUUGCAAACUGCUUUUAACCGGGAAGAAACCCCAGGACGUGUCCUGGGUUGACGGUACCGGAGGAAUAAGCACCGGCUAACUCCGUGCCAGCAGCCGCGGUAAUACGAAGGGUGCACGCGUUAUCCGGCUUCAUUGGGUUUAAAGGGUGCGUAGGCGGAGCGUUAAGUCAGUGGUGAAAUCCUGCAGCUUAACUGUAGACUUGGCAUUGAUACUGGCGCUCUUGAGUGCGCUUGAAGUGGGCGGAAUGUGCCGUGUAGCGGUGAAAUGCUUAGAUAUGGCACAGAACACCAAUUGCGAAUGCAGCUCACUAAGGCGAUACUGACGCUGAGGCACGAAAGCGUGGGGAUCGAACAGGAUUAGAUACCCCGGUAGUCC
rnacentral:rRNA from 1 species